GGCUACAACGGGCAUUCAGAGCCAUGAUCACUGCAAUGCCAUUGAUACGCAGGGUGCAGUUCAACUGUUGUUGCGACCCCAGGUUACACAUAGUAUUUCUUACAUUUACUCCGUCACCUACUCCAUUUGCCGGUUAUCAGAACCUAAUGAGAUCAUUAACUUCGAUUAAAAAUAAAAACGACUUUUAGCCACCUGCAUGGGGCAAGCUCCCUUCAAGAAAGUUUGGAAGUUGAUUAUUUUUUUAAUUCCUUCCCCCUACUUUCCUUUCCAUUCAUUCUUUCAAUUGUUUUAUUAAUGUUCUUGGUUUUCAAAUCUUCUGAAGGUUUAAAGAAACAGGAUUUGAACCACACCCGAAUUAUGUUUACAGUUAUAAUCCUUGUGUACCCUACAAUCUCACUUCAAGAAAAGGAAAAUGCAUAAACGUGGCUCUAUGCAAGUACGAUGAAGUACCGCAACCUGCGUAUGACGAUAUUGGCGAACAAAGAGAUGUUAAAUGUGACAUUAGCAACGGAAAGGUCGCCCUGAUUUACCCUAUAAAGACCAAACCGUACGCUGGUCAAGAAUCCACAGUGAAUUUGGUGUGUAAAAAUGAUCCAAAGGCUCAAAAUGAAUUUAGUCUCGUAAACGAAAAAAACCUGAUUUUCCAGUUAACAAGCUAUUGCGGAUGCCCAAAUAAAUGUCUACCUACCUACCCAACCAAGCCAGGACCCAACCCCAGCACUCCCUCAUCAUCAGCUGAGCCCACUUCGACCACUCCAUCCCAGUCAGGACCCUUCUCAAGCACUACACCGUCAUCUGAGCCUGAAACCACAUCAUCUAGGCCUGGAUCCCCGUCGUCGCCUGGUCCUUCAGGUAGAGUUUCUCACAUAAACGUUAA